rnacentral:rRNA from 1 species
CGCCCUACGGGGCGCAGCAGUGGGGAAUAUUGCACAAUGGGCGCAAGCCUGAUGCAGCGACGCCGCGUGCGGGAUGGAGGCCUUCGGGUUGUAAACCGCUUUUGUUCAAGGGCAAGGCACGGUCUUUGGCCGUGUUGAGUGGAUUGUUCGAAUAAGCACCGGCUAACUACGUGCCAGCAGCCGCGGUAAUACGUAGGGAGCAAGCGUUAUCCGGAUUUAUUGGGUGUAAAGGGUGCGUAGACGGGCUAUCAAGUUAGUUGUGAAAUCCCUCGGCUCAACUGAGGAACUGCAACUAAAACUAUUAG